rnacentral:rRNA from 1 species
GAUGAACGCUGGCGGCGUGCCUAAUACAUGCAAGUCGAGCGAACAGACGAGGAGCUUGCUCCUCUGACGUUAGCGGCGGACGGGUGAGUAACACGUGGAUAACCUACCUAUAAGACUGGGAUAACUUCGGGAAACCGGAGCUAAUACCGGAUAAUAUAUUGAACCGCAUGGUUCAAUAGUGAAAGACGGUUUUGCUGUCACUUAUAGAUGGAUCCGCGCCGCAUUAGCUAGUUGGUAAGGUAACGGCUUACCAAGGCGACGAUGCGUAGCCGACCUGAGAGGGUGAUCGGCCACACUGGAACUGAGACACGGUCCAGACUCCUACGGGAGGCAGCAGUAGGGAAUCUUCCGCAAAGGGCGAAAGCCUGACGGAGCAACGCCGCGUGAGUGAUGAAGGUCUUCGGAUCGUAAAACUCUGUUAUUAGGGAUGAACAAAUGUGUAAGUAACUAUGCACGUCUUGACGGUACCUAAUCAGAAAGCCACGGCUAACUACGUG